AAGACUAUAGACCUGCGGAGUACCUGCGGAGGGAUCAUUACCGAGUUAGGGUAGUCACUCACUGCCCGACCUCCCAACCCUGUGUCUACCACACUUUGUCGUUGCUUCGGCGGACCGGUUGACCAACUGGUCGUGACCGCCGGGGGCUGGCUCUGUCCCCCCUGGAGAGCGUCCGUCGAUGGCCCAACCACAAAACUCUAGUACCGAAACGUGUCGUCUGAAUUAUAUUUGAGAAAUCAA
rnacentral:misc_RNA from 1 species